GGGUGAUUAGCUCAGCUGGGAGAGCACCUCCCUUACAAGGAGGGGGUCGACGGUUCGAUCCCGUCAUCACCCACCA
rnacentral:tRNA from 9 species